rnacentral:rRNA from 1 species
CACACCGCCCGUCGCUACUACCGAUUGAAUGGCUCAGUGAGGCGUUCGGACUGGCCCAGAGAGGUGGGCAACUACCACUCAGGGCCGGAAAGUUCUCCAAACUCGGUCAUUUAGAGGAAGUAAAAGUCGUAACAAGGUCUCCGUUGGUGAACCAGCGGAGGGAUCAUUACCGAGUUUACAACUCCCAAACCCCUGUGAACAUACCUCUUGUUGCUUCGGCGGGACCGCCCCGGGCCCCGUGCCCGGAACCAGGCGCCCGCCGGAGGCCCCUAACUCUUGUUUUCUUAUGGAAUCUUCUGAGUCAAACAAACAAAUGAAUCAAAACUUUCAACAACGGAUCUCUUGGUUCUGGCAUCGAUGAAGAACGCAGCGAAAUGCGAUAAGUAAUGUGAAUUGCAGAAUUCAGUGAAUCAUCGAAUCUUUGAACGCACAUUGCGCCCGCCAGUACUCUGGCGGGCAUGCCUGUUCGAGCGUCAUUUCAACCCUCAAGCCCCCGGGCUUGGUGUUGGGGACCGGCCGCCGCUCACCCGGUGGCCGCCCCCGAAUUCCAUUGGCGGUCUCGCUGUAGCCUCCCCUGCGUAGUAGCACACCUCGCAGUGGAACGCGGCGCGGCCACGCCGUAAAACCCCCAACUUCUGAAUGUUGACCUCGGAUCAGGUAGGAAUACCCGCUGAACUUAAGCAUAUCAAUAAGCGGAGGAAAAGAAACCAACAGGGAUUGCCCCAGUAACGGCGAGUGAAGCGGCAACAGCUCAAAUUUGAAAUCUGGCCCUCGUGGUCCGAAUUGUAAUUUGUAGAGGAUGCUUUUGGUGCGGUGCCUUCCGAGUUCCCUGGAACGGGACGCCAUAGAGGGUGAGAGCCCCGUCUGGUCGGAUACCAAACCUCUGUAAAGCUCCUUCGACGAGUCGAGUAGUUUGGGAAUGCUGCUCUAAAUGGGAGGUAUAUGUCUUCUAAAGCUAAAUAUUGGCCAGAGACCGAUAGCGCACAAGUAGAGUGAUCGAAAGAUGAAAAGCACUUUGAAAAGAGGGUUAAAUAGUACGUGAAAUUGUUGAAAGGGAAGCGUUUGUGACCAGACUUGGGCCCGGUUAAUCAUCCAGCGUUCUCGCUGGUGCACUUGGCCGGCCCAGGCCAGCAUCAGCUUUCUGCGGGGGAUAAAGGCGGCGGGAAUGUGGCUCCUCUGGAGUGUUAUAGCCCGCCGCACAAUACCCUGUGGGGGGCUGAGGUUCGCGCAUCUGCAAGGAUGCUGGCGUAAUGGUCAUCAACGACCCGUCUUGAAACACGGACCAAGGAGUCGUCUUCGUAUGCGAGUGUUCGGGUGUCAAACCCCUACGCGUAAUGAAAGUGAACGCAGGUGAGAGCUUCGGCGCAUCAUCGACCGAUCUUGAUGUUCUCGGAUGGAUUUGAGUAAGAGCAUACGGGGCCGGACCCGAAAGAAGGUGAACUAUGCCUGUAUAGGGUGAAGCCAGAGGAAACUCUGGUGGAGGCUCGCAGCGGUUCUGACGUGCAAAUCGAUCGUCAAAUAUGGGCAUGGGGGCGAAAGACUAAUCGAC